GAUGAACGCUGACAGAAUGCUUAACACAUGCAAGUCAACUGUGGCGGACGGGUGAGUAACGCGUAAAGAACUUGCCUCACAGAUAGGGACCACAUUUGGAAACGAAUGCUACUACCUGAUACUGUGAGAGAGCUUUGCGUCCCAUUAGCUAGUUGGAGAGGUAACGGCUCACCAAGGCGAUGAUGGGUAGCCGGCCUGCGAGGGUGAUCGGCCACAAGGGGACUGGGACGCGGCCCGUACGCCUACGGGAGGAAGCAGUGGGGAAUAUUGGACAAUGGACCAAAGUCUGAUCCAGGAAUUCUGUGUGCACGAUGAAGCUGUCGGAAGGUAAAGUGCUUUCAGUUGGGAAGCGGUACCAGCAGAAGAAGUGACGGCUAAAUACGUGCCAGCAGCCGCGGUAAUAC
rnacentral:rRNA from 1 species